rnacentral:rRNA from 1 species
CCUACGGGUGGCAGCAGUGAGGAAUAUUGGUCAAUGGGCGCGAGCCUGAACCAGCCAAGUAGCGUGAAGGAUGACUGCCCUACGGGUUGUAAACUUCUUUUAUAAAGGAAUAAAGUGAGGCACGUGUGCCUUUUUGUAUGUUUUUUAUGAAUAAGGAUCGGCUAAAUCCGUGCCAGCAGCCGCGGUAAUACGGAGGAUCCGAGCGUUAUCCGGAUUUAUUUGGUUUAAAGGGCGCGUAGAUGGGUUGUUAAGUCAGUUGUGAAAGUUUGCGGCUCAACCGUAAAAUUGCAAUUGAUACUGGCAGCCUUGAGUACAGUUGAGGUAGGCGGAAUUCGUGGUGUAGCGGUGAAAUGCUUAGAUAUCACGAAGAACUCCGAUUGCGAAGGCGGCCUACUAAACUGCCACUGACAUUGAUGCUCGAAAGUGUGGGUAUCAAACAGGAUUAGAUACCCUAGUAGUC